UACAGAGGUGGCAAGCGUUGUUCGGAAUUACUGGGCGUAAAGGGCGCGUAGGCGGUUCGAUAAGUCCCGUGUGAAAGCCCCCGGCUCAACUGGGGAACUGCACGGGAAACUGACGGACUUGAGUUCGGGAGAGGGAAGCGGAAUUCCGGGUGUAGCGGUGAAAUGCGUAGAUAUCCGGAGGAACACCGGUGGCGAAGGCGGCUUCCUGGACCGACACUGACGCUGAGGAGCGAAAGCCAGGGGAGCAAACGGG
rnacentral:rRNA from 1 species